UCGUACACAGCCAUUGACUGAGCACAGUGAUUAGCUCCCCGUACAUUAGUGUGAGGUACCAGGGGAGUGUCCUCAUCCACAAAACUAUAUUCAUACAAAUAUACUUGAUUGUUGCCAGCCUCCGCGUGCAACUUCACAGCCCAAAGCAUGGAAUAAGCAAAAUAGACAUCCGAAAAGUAA
rnacentral:lncRNA from 1 species